rnacentral:rRNA from 1 species
GGGCCCGCACAAGCAGUGGAGCAUGUGGUUUAAUUCGACGCAACGCGAAGAACCUUACCUAGGCUUGAAACGCAGAUUAAUCCUGAUGAAAGUCAGGGUUCCGCAAGGAGAAUCUGUACAGGUGCUGCAUGGCUGUCGUCAGCUCGUGCCGUGAGGUGUUGGGUUAAGUCCCGCAACGAGCGCAACCCUCGUCCUUAGUUGCCAUCAGGUAAUGCUGAGCACUCUAAGGAGACUGCCUACGCAAGUAGUGAGGAAGGUGGGGAUGACGUCAAGUCCGCAUGGCCCUUACGCCUAGGGCCACACACGUGCUACAAUGGCCAUUACAAAGGGUUGCAAUACCGCGAGGUGGAGCCAAUCCCUAAAAAAUGGUCUCAGUUCGGAUUGGAGUCUGCAACUCGACUCCAUGAAGCUGGAAUUGCUAGUAAUCGCGCAUCAGCACGGCGCGGUGAAUACGUUCCCGGGCCUU